rnacentral:rRNA from 1 species
CAAUAGCAUAUAUGAAUGUUGUUGCAGUUAAAACGCUCGUAGUCGAUAAUGUCAGCCGCAAAGUUCACCUAGUGAAUGGCAUGACCAAAAGUCACAAAUUUAAAGGGCUCAUUGAGUCUUGGUUGACAGAAGAGUUUUUUUAUUUAAAAGAUUCGGAGUCAUUACCUUGAAUGAAACAGAGUUCUCAAAGCAGUGCUUUUUGCACAGUGAAUGAUCAAGCAUGGGAUAAUACAUACCACUAUAUGUGUUGGUACUACUAGCCAAUCUUACAAGUGAUUAAUAGGAACAGUUGAGGGCUCUAGUACUGAAUGGCGAGAGGUGAAAUUCUUAGACCCAUUCAAGACUAACUAAGGCGAAAGCAUUUGCCAAGGAUGUUUUCUUUGA